AGACCCGAAACCCGGUGAUCUAGCCAUGGGCAGGUUGAAGGUUGGGUAACACUAACUGGAGGACCGAACCGACUAAUGUUGAAAAAUUAGCGGAUGACCUGUGGCUGGGGGUGAAAGGCCAAUCAAACCGGGAGAUAGCUGGUUCUCCCCGAAAGCUAUUUAGGUAGCGCCUCGUGAAUUCAUCUCCGGGGGUAGAGCACUGUUUCGGCUAGGGGGCCAUCCCGGCUUACCAACCCGAUGCAAACUGCGAAUACCGGAGAAUGUUAUCACGGGAGACACACGGCGGGUGCUAACGUCCGUCGUGAAGAGGGAAACAACCCAGACCGCCAGCUAAGGUCCCAAAGUCAUGGUUAAGUGGGAAACGAUGUGGGAAGGCCCAGACAGCCAGGAUGUUGGCUUAGAAGCAGCCAUCAUUUAAAGAAAGCGUAAUAGCUCACUGGUCGAGUCGGCCUGCGCGGAAGAUGUAACGGGGCUAAACCAUGCACCGAAGCUGCGGCAGCGACACUGUGUGUUGUUGGGUAGGGGAGCGUUCUGUAAGCCUGUGAAGGUGUGUCGUGAGGCAUGCUGGAGGUAUCAGAAGUGCGAAUGCUGACAUAAGUAAC
rnacentral:rRNA from 2 species